AUUGAACGCUGGCGGCAGGCCUAACAAAUGCAAGUCGAGCGGAUGAAGGGAGCUUGCUCCUGGAUUCAGCGGCGGACGGGUGAGUAAUGCCUAGGAAUCUGCCUGGUAGUGGGGGAUAACGUCCGGAAACGGGCGCUAAUACCGCAUACGUCCUGAGGGAGAAAGUGGGGGAUCUUCGGACCUCACGCUAUCAGAUGAGCCUAGGUCGGAUUAGCUAGUUGGUGGGGUAAAGGCCUACCAAGGCGACGAUCCGUAACUGGUCUGAGAGGAUGAUCAGUCACGCUGGAACUGAGACACGGUCCAGACUCCUACGGGAGGCAGCAGUGGGGAAUAUUGGACAAUGGGCGAAAGCCUGAUCCAGCCAUGCCGCGUGUGUGAAGAAGGUCUUCGGAUUGUAAAGCACUUUAAGUUGGGAGGAAGGGCAGUAAGUUAAUACCUUGCUGUUUUGACGUUACCAACAGAAUAAGCACCGGCUAACUUCGUG
rnacentral:rRNA from 1 species